ensembl:lncRNA
GUCAGGUUGAAGUCAUGAUGACAAGUCAUCUCCUGUUUGUGCUUUUACACAGUGCAAUGGUCACCAUCUCUGUGAGCUGGAGUGGAUGGAGCCUUUGGUCUUGUGGGAUUUUUGUGAAUGUUUAGCAUAUUUUUCCAUCUUUUUUUAACACAGCGCAGAUUGAUGAAUUAAACAACCAACAUUCAGGCAGAAUCAAACUACUGAUAGACAACAUCCACCAUUAUUUUAUCAAGGGACUACUGGAGACAGUGAAUCUUCCUUCAGAGACGAAAGCCCACAUUAAUCUUGAUGCCAAAGUAGUAGCAGAUGGGCAUCCAUUCUCCCUCUCAGUCAACACCACACAUGCUCGCAGCAGGAGGUUCAUAAUACAGGCUUUGCCUAAAAAUGUCUUCAUUAAAGAUGCAUCGCUCUCAGGUGUGCUCAUCAAUAGUCCAGUCUUUCAGCACUGA